AUUUUAGUAUUAUCAAAAAAAUACCAAAAAAGUAUAGUCUUUUUAAAAUACAGAGUCUUAAGCGACCGUCUAAUUUACCUAUAUUUAAAGUUAAAAGGGAUUUGAAGUGUUUUUUUUUUUUUUUUGUCUGACAAAUGAUUACUUUUGAAAGUGCUUUCGGGUGUGUUGCGAGUUGCUUCAAAACCCAUAUUUGCUGCAUAUUGGGUAUUUGGUCAGUAGCCCAUGUAUCACUGCGUUCAUUUUGGCAAAAAGCAUUUCUGUUCAUGCGAAUUCAAAAGCUACAUAAUAAGCUACCUGUUAAUUGAUAUCUAAUAUUUGAUUAAGAAAGUGAAUAAAUAAAAUAAGUACCUUUUAAAUCGAAAGUGCUUUUGUUAAUGUAAGACUAUCGAAUGUGAAAACGCUCUUGAAAAUUCGAAGUAGUUGUUGACUUUGUAAAUCAUUUGCCCCAUACCACCACCUUGUUACGAGGAAACAAAUCAACCAUGUUUCCUAAUAAAGAUGCUUGCUAAUUAAGACCAACUUUAAUUAAACUACAAAACAAAAGAUAUUUUAUAUGAACUUCAAAGUCGAACCCUUUUAUGCCUCAAUUCUUCUUUUUAUUUUAU
rnacentral:lncRNA from 1 species